rnacentral:rRNA from 1 species
GCACACUUUGUUUACACAUCCACUCACACCUGUGCACCCUCCGUAGUUCUAUGGCCUGGGUGGGCUCUGUCCUCCUGGCGUGGUUCUACGUCUUUACACACACACUACAACAAAGUCUUAUGGAAUGUAUGUCGCGUUUAACGCAAUGAAAUACAACUUUCAGCAACGGAUCUCUUGGCUCUCGCAUCGAUGAAGAACGCAGCGAAAUGCGAUAAGUAAUGUGAAUUGCAGAAUUCAGUGAAUCAUCGAAUCUUUGAACGCACCUUGCGCCCUUUGGCUAUUCCGAAGGGCAUGCCUGUUUGAGUAUCAUGAACACCUCAACUCUCAUGGCUUGCCAUGAUGAGCUUGGACUUUGGGGGUCUUGUUGGCCUGUGAGCCAGCUCCUCUUAAAUGAAUUAGCUUGCCGGUGUUUGGUGGCAUCACGGGUGUGAUAACUAUCUACGCUUGUGGUUUCCCACCAGGUAACCUUCAGCAAUGGAGGUUCGCCGGAGCUUAUAAAUGUCUCUCCUCGGUGAGGACACAUUUUGACCAUUUGAUCUCAAAUCAGGUAGGACUACCCGCUAAACUUAAGCAUAUC